rnacentral:rRNA from 2 species
AAGGAGCCAGCGGUCGAAGGUGGGAUUGGUGAUUGGGGUGAAGUCGUAACAAGGUAGCCGUAGGAGAACCUGCGGCUGGAUCACCUCCUUUCUAGGGAGAAUGGAA